rnacentral:rRNA from 1 species
AGUUUGAUCCUGGCUCAGGAUGAAUGCUGGCGGCGUGCCUAACACAUGCAAGUCGAGCGGCAGCGCAGUCCUCGGACUGGCGGCGAGCGGCGGACGGCUGAGUAACGCGUGGGAACGUACCCCAAAGUGAGGAAUAACCGCGCGAAAGGGUGGCUAAUGCCGCAUAUGAUCUUCGGAUUAAAGGAUUUAUCCGCUUUGGGAACGGCCUGCGUACGAUUAGAUAGUUGGUGAGGUAAAGGCUCACCAAGUCGACGAUCGUUAACUGGUCUGAGAGGAUGAUCAGUCAGACUGGAACUGAGAUACGGUCCAGACUCCUACGGGAGGCAGCAGUGAGGAAUCUUCCACAAUGGGCGAAAGCCUGAUGGAGCAACGCCGCGUGCAGGAUGAAGGCCCUCGGGUCGUAAACUGCUUUUAUAAGUGAAGAAUAUGACGGUAACUUAUGAGUAAGCACCGGCUAACUACGUGCCAGCAGCCGCGGUCAUACGUAGGGUGCAAGCAUUAUCCGGAGUGACUGGGCGUAAAGAGUUGCGUAGGUGGUUUGUUAAGUGAAUGGUGAAAUCUGGUGGCUCAACCACACAGACUAUCAUUUAAACUGGCAAACUCGAGAGUAGCAGAGGUAACUGGA